rnacentral:tRNA from 1 species
AGGAAAGUAGCUAAAGGGGAAGUUUUAUGUUUACGACAUGAGGAUAUCUGUUCGAUUCAGGUCUUUUUUA